AAUCACAUCUGCACAGCAACAGCCAUCUUCUCAUCACUUAAUGGAUGACAAGGACCACAUUGAGAAAAAAAACAGAUUGGUCUGCAGAAAUUCCCCUCCUUCCGCAUCUUCAAAACCUGGGGUUUUUUGCUGUGAAGUAGUACUGUUUGUACCUCUGGGGAACAAAAUCAUUCUAUACCAGAGAGCCAUCUGGUAGCCACUCCUGGAGGUGAAGUGCUGAGAAGUUCAGGAGGUGAUAGAGCCCAACUCUUGGGCGAGAAGAUUCGCUGUCAGGGGAAGGUGGAGAUGCAGUCAGAGACCCUUGAGCAGUAGGGGAAUCAGGAGGAUAAGCAAACAGCACUGCGUGAGGCCAGCAAAUAAUUAGGGCAUUUCUCAUUGGGUUGUGGCUGUGCCCUUCCCUCAAGCAGAACUGCCUGCACUUUGCAUUGGAUAGAGCUGCAAGGAGCUCUGUUCGUGGAUGGCUCCAGGUGUAUAGAUGACCAGAUACUGUAGCAUGGCCAGAGUCCUUAGAGUGAAUGGAGCCAUCCACGGCAUCGCUGAACAACAUGGGUCCCUCAAAGGGAAGGUUUGACAGUAUUUUGUACCUCCCAACGCAGACCAGAGGACUGCAGCCAAGAAGCUCUGUGCAUGAGUAUUGCUGUAGCCAGGGAAUGAGCAGCUGGGUCAGUGGCUUCUAGUGAGGCUGUUACGAAGGCUUGAAGUUGUUCCCUCUGAUCCUGUAACA